GUCCCUACGGGCGUCGUCGUCUCGGCCCUGCAGCCGCGCCAGGAGCCCUCGCUGCACGAAGCCUUGGCGGGCGGCGCGACCCCGGCCGCCACUCAGCGCCAGGGCGCGGUCCAGGUCCGCCUGGGCACCUGCGGUUGGAUGAAGCCUGGAAGGACUGAGAAGACUUGUCCUGGACUGUACCACCACUUAGAGGCAGAGCUGGUACGAAGUUCAUGUUUUGCUUUAUUAUUAUUUUCCACCAUAGUUACACCGAAACAUGAGUGGAGGUCUUUGCUCACCAUAUUAGUGAAUCUGUCCUAUUGACUCCGCAAAUAGUGGGUCGUUCAUUUCACAUAAAAGUUACAAAACAUUUA